rnacentral:rRNA from 1 species
GCGCCGGCCCCCCACCACGGGGACGGGGCGCCCGCCGGAGGAAACCAAACUCUAUUUACACGACGUCUCUUCUGAGUGGCACAAGCAAAUAAUUAAAACUUUUAACAACGGAUCUCUUGGUUCUGGCAUCGAUGAAGAACGCAGCGAAAUGCGAUAAGUAAUGUGAAUUGCAGAAUUCAGUGAAUCAUCGAAUCUUUGAACGCACAUUGCGCUCGCCAGCAUUCUGGCGAGCAUGCCUGUUCGAGCGUCAUUUCAACCCUCAAGCACCGCUUGGUUUUGGGGCCCCACGGCCGACGUGGGCCCUUAAAGGUAGUGGCGGACCCUCCCGGAGCCUCCUUUGCGUAGUAACUAACGUCUCGCACUGGGAUCCGGAGGGACUCUUGCCGUUAAACCCCCAAAUUCUUUACAGGUGACCUCGGAUCAGUAGAAUACCCGCUGAACUUAAGCAUAUCAAUAAGCGGAGGAA